ACUCCACCCGGCCGGCGCGCCGGGAGGAAUUCUCAUCUCGGUCCGCACCUCCUCGCUUGUCAGGCUCCCACGACGGCCUCGGUGUCUCGGCUUAACUGGAAAAUGAUUUUGCCUCGGAAUCAGCUAAGCACUUCCCGUGGUGUCCUUGAAGAGAAGCCUCACUGGCCACCGAAGCCAGGAGAGGAAGUGACAUCCUCCGGGCAGCAGCCACAGGACCUGGGGCACAGACAUGCACACGAGCCGCUUUCUGGGAGAUCCCGGCAACCUGGACGAGGCAGGGGGCGAGCGGGAAGAUGAACCCACCAGCCUCCGUGGUUUCUGGAGAGCAAUACAGUCGGCCCUCGGAAGCCUUUUAAGUUAGAAGCCUGUCCCUCGGGCUUUUAAGAUCCCGAGAAAUCCAUCUUUCCAAAGACACGGGCACCCCAACGAGCGCUGCAGCACCACCUACAAGAGCGACACCAAUAAACAGCAAGACCUCACCAACAGAUUAAGGCUCCAACAAGGUGUGCUCCGUAUGUACGAUGGACUACCGCUCAGGCAUGUCAAAAUACCACCAAAUGAGGAAAUGGUGCCCCUGGGAACUCAUCGGGCCUGCCUGGGGGCUCACGGUAGAAAUGGCUCAUGAUGUUGACCUCACAAACAAAGAACAAAAUCACAGUGACCCUUGAGACUGACCAAAUUGCUCAAAUGGCAUUCUGUUUUCUCGCUGGCUCCUAUCUUCUCGAAGCUGCGAGACCGCCAGGUUCCAGACCUCGCUACGUGACCACAGGACUCAACUACAGGCUAAAAAUUAACCAUCCCUUCAGAGAGUUUUUCAUUGGCAGGGUGUAAGAAAGAUCCCGUCAGAAAGGGGGGACACUGGUUCUCCUUAAAGGCCAGUCACCCUCUCA